rnacentral:misc_RNA from 1 species
CCUAGAGUUGUAGGCUUUGCCUGCCAUCUCUUACCCAUGUCUUUUGAGUACCUUACGUUUCCUCGGCGGGUCCGCCCGCCGAUUGGACACUUUAAACCAUUUGCAGUUGCAAUCAGCGUCUAGAAAAAACUUAAUAGUUA